AUUGAACGCUGGCGGCAGGCCUAACACAUGCAAGUCGAACGCGAAAGCUCCUUCGGGAGUGAGUAGAGUGGCGGACGGGUGAGUAAUGCGUGGGAAUCUGCCCGGUAGUGGGGGAUAACU
rnacentral:rRNA from 1 species